GUUUUUACAGCGUUUCGAGUCUUACCUCUAAGUUCUGUAUGAGCUUUCGUAACGUUCGGUUGUGUGACAGUUCAGUGUGGAAGUGAUAAUUCAAAAAAAAACGCAGGCGACAAAAACAAAAUAGGAACUACAUAAUAGAGCUACAGAAAAACAAGAAGAAGGACAAGGACCACAUAGGACCAAAAAAAAAAAAAUAGAUCUGAAGUUGACAGGACACCUGGUUGUGCAUUGCCUUGAGCAAGACGCGCAUAACCAAUAACAUGUACUGGGUAAAUGAUUAAAAAAAAAUCGAAACCCAAAAAAAA
rnacentral:lncRNA from 1 species